CCUGCAUGAAGUUGGAAUUGCUAGUAAUGGCAGGUCAGCAUACUGCCGUGAAUACGUUCCCGGGCCUUGUACACACCGCCCGUCACACCAUGAGAGUUGGGAAUACCCGAAGCCUGUGAGCUAACGUUAAGAGGCAGCAGUCGAAGGUAGAAUCAAUGAUUGGGGUGAAGUCGUAACAAGGUAAC
rnacentral:rRNA from 1 species